AUGCUGCUAGCCCCAUGGCCUGCUGCAUCUCCAAUCGGCGCUUGCAACAGGAGAACCACAUCCCUGGCCUCUCCAUGCCCCCCCAAGCGCCAACCUGUAGGCUACAACGACAAGGCUUAUUUUGUCGACAUCGCGGUUUCAGUUUGCAAUAUUAGACCUACUUGUAUCAAGGGGAAAAUUCUAAUUUCUUUACAGCGGUGUUUGAACAAAAUGGCAUAUUCCGUGGGCUGGAUGAUAGAAGGACAUUUUGUUGAAGCACUCAAGAGGAGUAAUACUAUUGUGAUGCCAACACAUGCGUCUUCGCCGCCGGCCGUAUGCUGCAUCGGCGACUGGCUGCGGCAGCAGAGGAGCGCAUGUUGCCGCCGGCCAUACGCUGCAUAG
rnacentral:rRNA from 1 species